GAUGAACGCUGGCGGCGUGCCUAAUACAUGCAAGUCGAGCGAACAGAUGAGGAGCUUGCUCCUCUGACGUUAGCGGCGGACGGGUGAGUAACACGUGGAUAACCUACCUAUAAGACUGGGAUAACUUCGGGAAACCGGAGCUAAUACCGGAUAAUAUAUUGUACCGCAUGGUUCAAUAGUGAAAGACGGUUUUGCUGUCACUUAUAGAUGGAUCCGCGCCGCAUUAGCUAGUUGGUAAGGUAACGGCUUACCAAGGCAACGAUGCGUAGCCGACCUGAGAGGGUGAUCGGCCACACUGGAACUGAGACACGGUCCAGACUCCUACGGGAGGCAGCAGUAGGGAAUCUUCCGCAAUGGGCGAAAGCUUGACGGAGCAACGCCGCGUGAGUGAUGAAGGUCUUCGGAUCGUAAAACUCUGUUAUUAGGGAAGAACAAAUGUGUAAGUAACUAUGCACGUCUUGACGGUACCUAAUCAGAAAGCCACGGCUAACUACGUG
rnacentral:rRNA from 1 species